AUUACCUCACGUUAGCUAGUUAGGCACACAACAUUAAUCCUUUCAUUCUUACCUGCCGUUGGGGAUUUCCGGUACUCUAAAAAGUUAGACGUUGCGGCUGUCACACCAGUUAUUUACGUUUUGCAUGUUUUGCAUACAGCUGUCCUUUUCCUCCCACUAGCCACAUAGUCCUGGAAUGUUACGAUUUUCUGAGCCUUUCAAGGAGCCUUGAUAGCAAGUUCUCAAUCAAGUCCGACUAGACGACCUAAAGUAGACAGCUAAAUGCUGGGCCUACAGUUUGAGUGACAGCGACACAAGUCCAAUUAGAGUUGAGUAUUGUUGUGUUGUCCCUCCUAUCCCCGCCCACUGGCGUGUUGAGAACUUUGAACUUCGGUCUGUGAACACCGGUGAGCCCGGGGCAGCGCAAGCGGACGGCGCAGGAACACUUCAAGUGCUGUGAGAGAGCAAGAUGGGGAAAUAUAGGGAAAUGUAUACAAGUCUCUGGGGUCUUGUUGGAUGUUUAAGAAAGACACCAAGCAUGGAGUAAACUGCAUAGAGAGACUAAUACAGCAUGCACCACAUCAAAUUCUAGGGAAGGACCAUGGGGAAAUAUCUGCAAGCUUUUUCUUCCAGGGCAAUCUGCACAAAUGGCAAUGUAUCCAGUCCAUACCCAUAUGGGGCCCAUCAGUCC
ensembl:lncRNA